rnacentral:rRNA from 1 species
GGACCCGCACAAGCGGUGGAGCAUGUGGUUUAAUUCGAUGCAACGCGAAGAACCUUACCAGGUCUUGACAUAUCCCACAUUUCCUUGAAAAAGGAAAGUCCAAAUGGGAAUACAGGUGGUGCAUGGCUGUCGUCAGCUCGUGUCGUGAGAUGUUGGGUUAAGUCCCGCAACGAGCGCAACCCUUAUCUUUUGUUACUGAAUUUAUUCAAACUAGAGAGACUGCCGGUGAUAAAUCGGAGGAAGGUGAGGAUGACGUCAAGUCAGCAUGCCCCUUACGAUCUGGGCUACACACGUGCUACAAUGGUUAGGACAAAGAGAUGCGACCUCGCGAGAGUCAGCUAAUCUCAUAAACUUAGCCUAAGUUCGGAUUGUAGGCUGCAACUCGCCUACAUGAAGUCGGAAUC